GAUGAACGCUGGCGGCGUGCUUAACACAUGCAAGUCGAACGAGGUUAACAUUUUGGAAGCGAUUAGUUUACUAAGAGCGGACAUGUUGUUAACCGAGUGGCGGACGGGUGAGUAACGCGUGGGUAACCUGCCUUAUACCGGGGGAUAACAGUUAGAAAUGACUGCUAAUACCGCAUAAGCGUACAGUGUCGCAUGACACGGUGCGAAAAACUCCGGUGGUAUGAGAUGGACCCGCGUUGGAUUAGCUAGUUGGUGAGGUAACGGCUCACCAAGGCGACGAUCCAUAGCCGGCCUGAGAGGGCGACCGGCCACAUUGGGACUGAGACACGGCCCAAACUCCUACGGGAGGCAGCAGUGGGGAAUAUUGCACAAUGGGGGAAACCCUGAUGCAGCGACGCCGCGUGAACGAAGAAGUAUUUCGGUAUGUAAAGUUCUAUCAGCAGGGAAGAAAAUGACGGUACCUGACUAAGAAGCCCCGGCUAAUUACGUGCCAGCAGCCGCCGUAAAAC
rnacentral:rRNA from 1 species